GAUGAACGCUGGCGGCGUGCCUAAUACAUGCAAGUCGAACGAGUUCUGAUUAUUGAAAGGUGCUUGCAGCUUGAUUUUAAUUUUGAACGAGUGGCGGACGGGUGAGUAACACGUGGGUAACCUGCCCUUAAGUGGGGGAUAACAUUUGGAAACAGAUGCUAAUACCGCAUAAAUCCAAGAACCGCAUGGUUCUUGGCUGAAAGAUGGCGUAAGCUAUCGCUUUUGGAUGGACCCGCGGCGUAUUAGCUAGUUGGUGAGGUAACGGCUCACCAAGGCAAUGAUACGUAGCCGAACUGAGAGGUUGAUCGGCCACAUUGGGACUGAGACACGGCCCAAACUCCUACGGGAGGCAGCAGUAGGGAAUCUUCCACAAUGGACGCAAGUCUGAUGGAGCAACGCCGCGUGAGUGAAGAAGGCUUUCGGGUCGUAAAACUCUGUUGUUGGAGAAGAAUGGUCGGCAGAGUAACUGUUGUCGGCGGGCGGAUCCAACCA
rnacentral:rRNA from 2 species